GGGAUCUGGACCCCUGGGCUCGAGGGACCCAUCACUGCGAGACGAGUGCUCCUGGGUGAGUGAAGGAGGGGAUCUUGUUCGUACCCAGGUACCCACUUCCACCCCCUGCUGAUCUUAACGGAGGCGAAGAUCUCCGGACACUUGGAAACCCCAGGAUCUCGACCUCUGCGUCCUUCCCCUCUUGUCAGCCGAAAUGUAUUUUCCAAGUUCAUCAUUCAUAAUGUAUGACUGCCUAUUCAAGCCCGGCCCGACAAAAGCGUAAAAGCUAAACAAGCAACACCGAACAAUGGGCGAAUUACCUCUCAUUUUCCUCCCCUCUUUUCCUUAAACGUCGCAGUUUGAUUUACAAAGCACUUUCAUCUACAGUGGUUCGUUUCCUUUUCCAACAUCUGUGACUUAAAUGUUAUUAUCUCCACUUUGCAGAACUUGAAGCUAAGCCGCAGAGAUGGAUGUUAAGUAAAGGACCCCAUAUCGACGGUCUGGUUAGGACUAGAAAGCUGCGGGACUCCUACAGAUGGACUUUCCAGAUGGCUUGGCUGUAAAGAAUCUGCCUGCCAAGCAGGAGAGGCAGGUUCCAUCCCUGGGUUGAGAAGGUGUCCUCUGGAGGAGAGAAUGGCAACCCACUCCAGUAUUUUUGCCUGGAUAAUCCCAUGGACAGAGGAGCCUGGUAGGCUAUAGUCCAUGGGGUCACUGAGAGUAGGACAGGACUUGGCUACUGAACAACAACAAAUUCCUGCAAACGACUUUGAAUUCUCCAUUAGCAGAGUUAAGCAGCCCAGCCCAGCUCUCAGGAGGAAACACAUGGUGAUGGCUUGGCCUCUGGAGGUUUGUCUGCAGAAUCCCUGGACUUCACUUAUUUGGAGGAUCCUGAAGGACAAGUUGGUCUGGGCUGUGAUUCAUGGGUCUGACAGAAGUCUUAUUUUUUAAAAACCCUUUGGGACAGCCUUCCAUUCUUAGAAGCUGAGUCUCUGUCUAAGAAGUUUUUCUUUUACUGUUGAUUUUUAUUGGCAAUACUUUGAAACUGUGACAAUGCUACAUUUCCAAAACAUCCCUUGAAACGUAGAGGGUCUCUGGUAUGUUGCCCCAAGCCUUGGAUUUAACUGUGGAGUUAACCUAAGAGAAGAUGACAUCCUGCCAUGUGGCACGUACUGGAAAGAGGCCCCUCUGCUGUGGACAUUAGGAGAUCUCUGCCUAUCACCUCAGUGGCCUCGGGACACUUGCUUGCUGUCUUGGAGCUCUUUCUCUGUGUAUAGCCCACCAACCAGGUGGCGGUGAGGGGAACUGCAAACCCAUGUGUAAGCUUCCCUGGAAAGUGCAGAACAUUGUACAAGGGUCCACUGUCCUUUACUGCCUCCCGUCCAAUGUUUGGAGAACCAUUGUUUCAUCUCUUUUGCCUGUUUUGUGGUUGCUCCAGAUGGAAGGAAUUAACUGAAGAUAUGCAUUCUGAAGGUAUGGAAGUACCUCUCAAACUACUGUGAUCAUCCUGUCCCCAAGGUGAGUCUGUCCUCGUAUUGUCCACAAACGCUUCAUCCAGCAUAAUUCCAAGUGACGACAGGAAACAGGGGCUGCCGCCCCUCACGUAAACAGCUCUCCACUCUGAUGGGACUAAUCGAUUUGGGGGAGAUUAUCCUGCUGUGUGUGCCUUCCUCCCAAUAAAAUUGUGUGUUGCUCACUCUCUUUAAGGCCUGGCUUAAUCGAUGCUAUGAAUCCAAACCACAUUUCGAGCUCCUGUUAAGAAUCCAGUGCUUCUGAGUAUUAGCUUAGUGGCAAUCAGUUUAACCUCCCCAUCAUGGAUUCUGUUGUGAGAGGAGAUAUAAAUUAGGCUUUAGAUUGCUUAUUCUGAGUAGCUCAGGAGCAGAAUUUUCAUGAAAUCAUCUUGAAAAUCCAGAAGACUCUAUAUCAUGGCACCAUAAUCCAGUUUCUUCCUCAUUCACCCAUCUGACAUCUCCUGGGGGAAAAAAAAUGAGUAUUUUAGGCAGGAGACAAACUCAAGGGAAACAAGGGGUUUGGGGGUGAAAAUAGGGGGGCAGAAGAGAACUCUUGUUUUGGUGAAAUGGAUCCGCCCACUCGGUAUACCAACAUUCUCCAUCUGCUGGCUUCCUCUACUUUUCCACUCCAUUUGACUCCCCCACCUGCAAGGUCAGCUGCUCCAAGGAGCAAUUUAUAAACUUGCAGCUCAUAUUGUGGUUGCUGUUCCAGGACUGACAUGAAAUUAAAUCAGUCUUGAGUGCUGCAGGAUACAAAAGCUACCUUCCGAGUUUACGGAGCCCUCCACAACUCCUCAUAAAUCUUGGAAAGGUAGCAUUCCACCAGUAACUGCCCAGUUUCUCUGCUCACAAAAGGACCUUGAAAUGGAAACAACGGAGUUUUCUUUGAGGCCAUAUUUCAUACCACGGAGAGAAAGAUGUAUGUGGAAGCCACAUUCUUAAAUGCCCUUUUCCAACUCUAGGCGAGCACUGGGGAAGACAGUGUGAAAUAAACCCUUAACUUAUGCCUCCAUGUUCAAAAUUAUGGGGGCCACAGGAUAUGAAAACACCCACAAAAAAUCUGUCUGUACUCACAAAGCCUCUUUAUUGUUUUUCAAGAGCAGAAGGUAAGUUUUUAAAAAUGCAAUGAGCCUAGAAACAUGCCUUUGCUACAAAUGUUUCACCCCUCAAUGUCCAGAGACUCCAAAGCUUAUUACUGGGAGGCUCAUCAGUAGACUGAGAAGGAAGCAGAUGCUGUCACGUGGUCCUGUUGAAUCUACCCAAUGGUAACUCAUUCAUGUCUUUUUUAAUGUUUUAAAACUUAAACGAUGAAUCGAAUCUGCCUUAACAUUGUGGGACACAGUCUGUUACUAAGUCCUAUGCAAAGUGUCUUUUAGGCAUUAACAUUUAUUUUCCCCAAAGCUCUCUGAGCAGAGAUUAUUAUGAUCCCCUGUGAUGGUUAAUUUUAUGUGUCAGCUAGCUCAGCCACGGUACCCAGUUUUUGGCCAAACACCAGUUGAGAUGUCACUGUGAAGGUAUGUUUUAGUUGAGAUUAACACUUAAAUCCGUCGACUUUGAGUAACGCAGUUUACCUUCUGUAAUGUGAGUGAGCUCUUCUAAUCAGUUGAAGGGCUUAAAAAAUGACUACAUUCCCCCCAAGAAAGAGGGAAUUCUGCCUCCAGACUGCUUUUAGACUCAGGCUGCAGAAUCAGUCUUCCCUGAGCCUGAGCCCCAGGCCUGCAAAUUUCCCACUC